rnacentral:rRNA from 1 species
UACGUAGGGGGCAAGCGUUGUCCGGAUUUAUUGGGCGUAAAGAGCGUGUAGGCGGCCAUACAGGUCCGUUGUGAAAACUGGAGGCUUAACCUCCAGACGUCGAUGGAAACCGUGUGGCUAGAGUCCGGAAGAGGAGAGUGGAAUUCCUGGUGUAGCGGUGGAAUGCGCAGAUAUCAGGAGGAACACCAAUAGCGAAGGCAGCUCGCUGGGACGUUACUGACACUGAGGCGCGAAAGCGUGGGGAGCGAACAGG